GAUGAACGCUAGCGAUAGGCUUAACACAUGCAAGUCGAGGGGCAGCAUGGUCUUAGCUUGCUAAGACUGAUGGCGACCGGCGCACGGGUGCGUAACGCGUAUGCAACUUGCCUCACAGAGGGGGAUAACCCGUCGAAAGACGGACUAAUACCGCGUACACGCUAUUUUGGGCAUCCAAGGUAGAGGAAAUGAAAUUCGCUGUGAGAUAGGCAUGCGUCCCAUUAGCUAGUUGGUGAGGUAACGGCUCACCAAGGCGACGAUGGGUAGGGGAACUGAGAGGUUGACCCCCCACACUGGUACUGAGACACGGACCAGACUCCUACGGGAGGCAGCAGUGAGGAAUAUUGGUCAAUGGGCGAGAGCCUGAACCAGCCAAGUCGCGUGAAGGAUGACUGUCUUAUGGAUUGUAAACUUCUUUUGUAGGGGAAUAAAGAGGGGCACGUGUGCCCCAGUGAAUGUACCCUACGAAUAAGCAUCGGCUAACUCCGUG
rnacentral:rRNA from 1 species